CAUGUCUAACAGAUCUGUGUAUAUGUAUACUUCCUACUUACCUACUCUUCGAGUAUAACUUGACUUAAUGAUUCACUUUUAAUGAACAGAGUAAAAGUGGAAGUGAAUAUGUAUGACUUCAUAAACUGGAUCAUAAAAAGCACUCUGGCUUCCUGCUUGCUCUCUCUUUCUCAGAUCACUUACCUGUGGGAAGCCAGCUGCCAUGUUAUGAGGACACUCAGGCAGUACUGUGGAGAGCUGCACAUGGUAAAGAACUGAGCCCUCUUGCCGACAGCCAUGUGAAUAUCACUCGGAGCCAAUCUCCAAUCAUGCUCAGGACAGCAGCAAAGUAAGCAAGUCCUACAAGGAUCCAGAACCACACGACAGGCUUAUAGAAGUCCAGAUAUUCAAUAUCGGAUCCACCUGGAGACAGAAACAAAGUAGAACAAAAUAACUUCAUAUUCCCAAAAGUAAACGGUCUAGGUAUUGCUAAAAUUACUAACUGAAUUUUGGUUUGCAAAACAUAGAAAUCUAGUAUUCUUAUCAAUGGAUCCAUAUUAUUUUCUUCAUUUUGAAUUUCUCAUUUUCACUCAUGUAGUUCUUACCUAUUUUUCAGGAACAAGUUAAGUUUUUCUUAAUGAGACCUUUCAUUGCUUCUUCAGAUCAUCAUGAUUUUUCCUUGCUCCAUGUUUCAUUGACAUUUAUAUAAUCUGUCUCAGUCUAAAUUAUUCUAUGUGUACUAAGUUUCUUUUUCCAUCUCUAUUUUAACAAAUAGAAGGUAGGGAUUACAUUUCUGUUGGUGUGCAUUUAACUUAGUAUAUUUACCUCAUUGCCAAUAAAUACAUGCUACCUAAUCAACUUAAUGCCAAACUGAACAACAAGUGAAUGACUCUAGUGAUGGUUUUUAUUUUAAAGUCAUCAGUACAAUGAAUCACUAACAAACGCCAGAGACAAUGACUUGGUGAUUCGCAUGAGAACAAACAGAAAUUUACAGGUAAUACUGCCAUUCAUUAUUCUCUGACUUUUCAGAUAAAUUCCCAUGACUGCCAUAAAAUAAAACCCUAGCUCUCAAGGAAAAAAUUGACAAGGCUCUUUUUCUUUAAUCCUUGAAGUACUUCUCAAAAUUGGAACUUCAUCCACUUGGAACACUAACUAUAUCUAUGAGAAUCCAGGUUCAUUUCGACGCACUGUUUGUUCAGUGCCCCAUUAAUAUGGGGGCACUUAUUAAGUUCCAACAGUUAAACUACUUUUAUUUUCACAAAUAAGAAAUCAAAUACCCCUCUUGAAAAAAUCAUAAUUUAGCCCAAAAAAAUCCUCAUAUAGACAGCAUCAAUGGGAUAUAUUGCAUGAUGGCAAGGAGAAUAAAAAAGUACUAUGAGCGGGCAUAAAAGAAGUGAUUUUUACUUCUGGAAGAAGGAAAGCAAGACGGGAAAAAGUGAGUCUUAAGUAAUGGGAAUCAAAACAUGGAAUAGUCCAGUGUGGAAAACAUAUAGUAUACUCAAAUAACUUUUAGUCAUGGAUAAAUCUCCAUGUGUAUCGGGUCACAAAGCAGAUAGGUAGAAAAGAUAAAAGUCUCUAG